GACGAACGCUGGCGGCGUGCUUAACACAUGCAAGUCGAACGAAGUGGCGAACGGGUGAGUAACGCGUAAUCACCCUGCCCUUCAGAGGGUGACAACAGUUGGAAACGACUGCUAAUAUCGCAUACUGAAGGAGGGGCUUGCGUCUGAUUCGGUAGUUGGAGGGGUAAGGGCCCACCAAGGCGAUGGUCAGUAGCCGGUCUGAGAGGAUGAACGGGCACAGUGGGACUGAGACACGGCCCAGACUCCUACGGGAGGCAGCAGUGGGGAAUCUUCCGCAAUGGACGAAAGUCUGACGGAGCAACGCCGCGUGAGUGAUGACGGCCUUCGGGUUGUAAAGCUCUGUUAAUCGGGACGCGGUACCGGAAUAGAAAGCCACGGCUAACUACGUGCCAGCAGCCGCGGUAAUAC
rnacentral:rRNA from 1 species